AACGAACGCUGGCGGCAGGCUUAACACAUGCAAGUCGAACGCCCCGCAAGGGGAGUGGCAGACGGGUGAGUAACGCGUGGGAAUCUACCCAGUUCUACGGAACAACAGUUGGAAACGACUGCUAAUACCGUAUACGCCCUACGGGGGAAAGAUUUAUCGGAAUUGGAUGAGCCCGCGUAAGAUUAGCUAGUUGGUGAGGUAAUGGCUCACCAAGGCGACGAUCUUUAGCUGGUCUGAGAGGAUGAUCAGCCACACUGGGACUGAGACACGGCCCAGACUCCUACGGGAGGCAGCAGUGGGGAAUAUUGGACAAUGGGCGCAAGCCUGAUCCAGCCAUGCCGCGUGAGUGAUGAAGGCCUUAGGGUUGUAAAGCUCUUUCAGUGGGGAAGAUAAUGACGGUACCCACAGAAGAAGCCCCGGCUAACUUCGUGCCAGCAGCCGCCGUAACAC
rnacentral:rRNA from 1 species